rnacentral:rRNA from 1 species
AUACGAAGGGUGCAAGCGUUACUCGGAAUUACUGGGCGUAAAGCGUGCGUAGGUGGUUGUUUAAGUCUGUUGUGAAAGCCCUGGGCUCAACCUGGGAACUGCAGUGGAAACUGGACAACUAGAGUGUGGUAGAGGGUAGUGGAAUUCCCGGUGUAGCAGUGAAAUGCGUAGAGAUCGGGAGGAACAUCCGUGGCGAAGGCGACUACCUGGACCAGCACUGACACUGAGGCACGAAAGCGUGGGGGGCAAACAGGAUUAGAGACCCUGGUAGUCCACGCCCUAAACGAUGCGAACUGGAUGUUGGGUUCAACUAGGAACUCAGUAGCGAAGCUAACGCGUUAAGUUCGCCGCCUGGGGAGUACGGUCGCAAGACUGAA